AGUGAGGAAUAUUGGUCAAUGGGCGCAAGCCUGAACCAGCCAUGUCGCGUGCAGGAUGACGGCCCUAUGGGUUGUAAACUGCUUUUUUACAGGAAUAAUUGCAGAUACGUGUAUUUGUUUGAAGGUACUGUAGGAAUAAGGAUCGGCUAACUCCGUGCCAGCAGCCGCGGUAAUACGGAGGAUUCGAGCGUUAUCCGGAUUUAUUGGGUUUAAAGGGUCCGUAGGCCGGCUAAUAAGUCAGUGGUGAAAUCCCAGAGCUCAACUCUGGAACUGCCAUUGAUACUGUUAGUCUUGAAUUUAGUUGAGGUGGGCGGAAUACGUUAUGUAGCGGUGAAAUGCAUAGAUAUAACGUAGAACACCGAUUGCGAAGGCAGCUCACUAAACUAACAUUGACGCUGAUGGACGAAAGCGUGGGGAGCGAACAGGAUUAGAUACCCUGGUAGUCCACGCCGUAAACGAUGAUUACUCGUUGUGCACAAUACAUCGUGCGUGACUGAGCGAAAGCAUUAAGUAAUCCACCUGGGGAGUACGUUCGCAAGAAUGAAACUCAAAGGAAUUGACGGGGGCCCGCACAAGCGGAGGAACAUGUGGUUUAAUUCGAUGAUACGCGAGGAACCUUACCUGGACUUAAAUGUAGAUUGACCCUCUUAGAAAUAGGAGUUCUCUUCGGAGCAAUUUACAAGGUGCUGCAUGGUUGUCGUCAGCUCGUGCCGUGAGGUGUCGGGUUAAGUCCCAUAACGAGCGCAACCCCUAUCGUUAGUUGCUAGCAGGUAAUGCUGAGGACUCUAGCGAGACUGCCACCGUAAGGUGAGAGGAAGGUGGGGAUGACGUCAAAUCAGCACGGCCCUUACGUCCAGGGCUACACACGUGUUACAAUGGCCGAUACAAAGGGCAGCUACCAGGUGACUGGAUGCUAAUCUCCAAAGUCGGUCUCAGUUCGGAUCGGAGUCUGCAACUCGACUCCGUGAAGUUGGAUUCGCUAGUAAUCGCAUAUCAGCAACGAUGCGGUGAAUACGUUCCCGGGCCUUGUACACACCGCCCGUCAAGCCAUGGAAGCCGAGGGGACCUGAAGUUCGUAACCGCAAGGAGCGACCUAGGGUAAAAUUGGUAACUGGGGCU
rnacentral:rRNA from 1 species